AUUGAACGCUGGCGGCAUGCUUUACACAUGCAAGUCGAACGGCAGCAUAGGUGCUUGCACCUGAUGGCGAGUGGCGAACGGGUGAGUAAUAUAUCGGAACAUGUCCGGAAGUGGGGGAUAACGUAGCGAAAGUUACGCUAAUACCGCAUAUGCCCUGAGGGGGAAAGGAGGGGAUCGCAAGACCUUUCGCUUUCGGAGUGGCCGAUAUCGGAUUAGCUAGUAGGUGAGGUAAAGGCUCACCUAGGCGACGAUCCGUAGCUGGUCUGAGAGGACGACCAGCCACACUGUGACUGAGACACGGCCCAGACUCCUACGGGAGGCAGCAGUGGGGAAUUUUGGACAAUGGGCGCAAGCCUGAUCCAGCCAUGCCGCGUGAGUGAAGAAGGCCUUCGGGUUGUAAAGCUCUUUCAGCUGGAAAGAAAUCAUGCUUACUAAUACUAAGUGUGGAUGACGGUACCAGCAGAAGAAGCACCGGCUAACUACGUGCCAGCCGCCGCCGUAAUAC
rnacentral:rRNA from 1 species